rnacentral:misc_RNA from 1 species
UCGGAAGGUGCGGCUGGAUCACCUCCUUUCUAAGGAGAAUUACCUACUGUUUAAUUUUGAGGGUUCGUUUUUACGAAUACUCAAAAUUAGCACUUUAAGCAACGGGAUUUAUCCGUUGGCGCUGUGAAUUAGCACUUUAAGCAACGGAAUUUAUUCGUUGGCGCUGUGCUUUAGCACUUUGAAAACUGCAUAUAUAUUUAGUGAUAUGACAUCUAAUUUGUAAUAUAUAAAGCUGAUAACUUUUUAAAAUUAUCGAAGUUGAUAGCUUCUAAUCUAUCAAACCUUUUUAACU